rnacentral:siRNA from 1 species
UAAGUAUGGAGACGAUGAUGA